GUAGGUGGCAAGCGUUGUCCGGGAAUUAUUGGGGCGUAAAGCGCGCGCAGGCGGUUCUUUAAGUCUGAUGUGAAAGCCCACGGGCUCAACCGUGGAGGGUCAUUGGAAACUGGAGAACUUGAGUGCAGAAGAGGAAAGCGGAAUUCCACGUGUAGCGGUGAAAUGCGUAGAGAUGUGGAGGAACACCAGUGGCGAAGGCGGCUUUCUGGUCUGUAACUGACGCUGAGGCGCGAAAGCGUGGGGAGCAAACAGGAUUAGAUACCCUGGUAGUCCACGCCGUAAACGAUGAGUGCUAAGUGUUAGGGGGUUUCCGCCCCUUAGUGCUGCAGCUAACGCAUUAAGCACUCCGCCUGGGGAGUACGGCCGCAAAGGCUGA
rnacentral:rRNA from 1 species